AGAGUUUGAUCCUGGCUCAGGAUGAACGCUAGCGGCAGGCUUAACACAUGCAAGUCGAGGGGCAGCGGGGUGUAGCAAUACACUGCCGGGCGACCGGCGCACGGGUGCGUAACGCGUAUGCAACCUACCCAUAACAGGGGCAUAACACUGAGAAAUUGGUAACUAAUUCCCCAUAACAUUCGAAGAGGCAUCUCUUUGUGUUGAAAACUCGGUGUUAUGGAUGGGCA
rnacentral:rRNA from 1 species